AUUUUGCAAAGGGAAUGACCAAAACGAAAAUGGCAUUGAGGAAAUGAGUUUGCCAGAAGUACCUGGGAGAAAUGGGGACUAGGCACUGAGAAUGUAAUUCAUAGCACAGCAGAACAGAUACUAAAAGAUCGUUUUGGAAGCAGAAGGGCUGGUUUCCAGCUUUUCUGAGUUGUUUCACUGUGGGUAACUGCUAAGGCCUUCACCCUUGAUGCCAGAGG
rnacentral:lncRNA from 1 species